UACGUAGGGUGCAAGCGUUAAUCGGAAUACUGGGCGUAAAGCGUGCGCAGGCGGCUUUGCAAGACAGAUGUGAAAUCCCCGGGCUUAACCUGGGAACUGCAUUUGUGACUGCAUGGCUGGAGUGCGGCAGAGGGGGAUGGAAUUCCGCGUGUAGCAGUGAAAUGCGUAGAUAUGCGGAGGAACACCGAUGGCGAAGGCAAUUCCCCUGGGCCUGCACUGACGCUCAUGCACGAAAGCGUGGGGAGCCAAACAGG
rnacentral:rRNA from 1 species